UACAGAGGUCUCAAGCGUUGUUCGGAUUCAUUGGGCGUAAAGGGUGCGUAGGCGGCGCGGUAAGUCGGGUGUGAAAUCUUGGAGCUUAACUCCGAAACUGCAUUCGAUACUGCCGUGCUUGAGGACUGGAGAGGAGACUGGAAUUUACGGUGUAGCGGUGAAAUGCGUAGAUAUCGUAAGGAAGACCAGUGGCGAAGGCGGGUCUCUGGACAGGUCCUGACGCUGAGGCACGAAGGCCAGGGGAGCAAACGGG
rnacentral:rRNA from 1 species